UUUCUAAGCAGUGACUAUCAUAUCCAGGACUGGCAUUUCCCCCAGAAGGGUGAGCAUCUUCUAUCUUGCCUUUGGAUGCUGGCAGAAUCCUUCUGUCAGAUCUUGGAGGCUUGAAUGCUCCAGAUGCAGUGGUCAGGGGGGAUAUGGGUGAUGAGCAACUUGGGAGAGCUUUGUUUCUGCUUCUUCCAUGUUGUUGGCUUGCCUGGGCCUCAGCGCAGUAAGGGUUUCCCCCUCUCACAUUGCCUGGGCCAGAGGUGCCCAGACUGGGUUUAUAGCCUCAGUCUAUUCAAGUUCAAAUCUCAUCACUUGAUGAAACUCAGAGGUGUGCAAAUGUAUACAUUAAAAAAUUUUGUUUUAAUUUUAAUUAAAGGUAAUCUAAAAUAAAUUAAAUUGGCAUAUUCUGGGUGAUCUGAAUCCAGCUACUUCUGAGGAGGCAGUUUAAGGAAGUGGUAAGAGGGUGUGCUCUAGCGUCAAAUUCCUUCUCUAUCAUUCCAGCUGCGUGACCCAGGACGGCACUCACCUUCGGUGCCGGUGUCUAGUUGCAAAAGGGCAGCAGUAAUUGUUCCUGCUCUAGAGUCCCCGUGAGAUCUAAAUGAGAUUAUGCCUGCAAAGCACUAAGCCUAGCGUUUAAUGAGCAUCAGCACUCAAUCACCGUUUGAUUUGUGUGUGUUAUCUGGGGGCCCCGUGACUGUCAAAGGCUCGUGAGAAAAAAGCAAAGGUGGAUUGAAUAGAGAAGUGAUGUGUUAGAGCUGAGUGAGGGCCAAGUGACAUCAUGUCCUGCUGAAUAAAUGAAGUUGUCACAGUAGUUUAAAUAAGGAAAAGCAGUGUGAUAAUUGAGUCAUCACACCAGGCAGGCGGAAUUCAAAGGAAUGUGCCCGGGAGCAGUUGGUGCUACGCUCGCACAGUGAGCUGCAAUUUAUUUUUCAGCAAAAGCUCAUUUGUCCCAUUAAAUCAGUGUUGGUAAUAUGUUUUCUAUUGGUUUUGUCAUUUUGUUUGCAUUUAAUUUAUAAAUUUAUUUGGCUUUUACAUGAAGGAUGUAAGCAUGUGUUUUUUUAUAUCUAGUUUGAACAUAUUUAGGUAAUUUGCUUUAUAAAAACAAUCGAAGUCAACACCAUGUCUUAAAAGGUGUCUCUAUAAUUUCCAAGUUUGAAAAAUACUGCCCUGGGUCUGUUCCAUUGGGAUUCAGACGGAGAAAAAGCAAAUGUGUUUCCUCUUGGCUCAGAGCCCUAACUCCCCAUGUGCCAGAACUCUCCAGUAACAGGCUGGUGGACCGGAGCAAGAGAGCAGCCAUGACCUUGAGAGCAAAGACGGCCAAGCUAAUAGCUCUGCAGGCGGGCAGCUUCUCCAGUUUCACUCCAUUCCAAAGCUGUGAGCAUGGAAUUUAUUUUGUGAGAGUCACAGCGUGCUGGAGCUGGGAGGAACCUUCCAGAUCCCUCCGGGCUGGGCUGCUUAUCUCAACAGCAGCAGCCCCACAUCUCUGAGGCAGCAAAGCUAGAAGCUGUCGUUUCAAGGUGGAGAAACAGGCCCAGGAAAGGACUCUAGCAAGAGGGUGACUGAAUGGAGACCCGGAUGCAGGGCAGACCUUCAGGGUGAAGGAGCCAGGAAUUUUACACCCAUGUUACAGGUGAGGAAAUAGGCUUAAGGUGACACAGUCAGAAGCAAAGCCAAGCUAAACCUAAGCCAAGCAAAGCAGGUGGGAGGUGCAUCUCAACUUUUGUCAUUCCCUUCCCUGUGGCUGGGCUCUGUGCCCAUCCCUGUGGAGGCGGGCCUUCAGGGAUGCGCCUGUUCUCCUUGGGCCUGUCUCUGGGGCCCCUGGGCAAGCCCUGAGCAGGAAGAGCUCACAGGUAUGGCUGCUGAAUCCACAGCCAAGAGGUGCUGGGUGAAGGGGGGCUUCCACGAGACACACUGUGAAUGUGGUGAUGGCAUCCCUGCUGCCUGGGCAUGUAGGUCAGUACUUAAAACUCAGGUGGUUUCACUGGAACACCCAGAUUUCUGGCUCCUUUCGGAAACGAGACACUGGGCAGCACAGGGCCUGCUCGUGAGCCUGGCGCGUCUGCCAACGCCCCAUGACUGGGCUGCUGGUCCAGCGGGUCUCCAGGCCUGUUCCAGAGUCAAGUGAGUGCCUGGAAGACCUUGUAAUUUUAAGGACACUUUGAAGUAAGUGUGACAGCUUUUCUUGUUAAGUUGGCAAAGAAGUGAGGAGAGACUAGUGGUGACUGAGAACAGCUGAUGUGCGUGAGGAAGGCGCCCGUUGCGCUCUGGUGCUGGAGGAGAUGCGGCUGGAGGAGAGUUCCCCCAGGGAGAGCCACGGCUGCGGAGGAAAGUGGCGGCUCUGGAAGGGCGGUGCCAAGUGCACCUAGCAUUCCGAGGAGGCCCAAACCUCCGCGGGAACCAGGAGAGGGGGGCGGGAGGAGAGAGAGGUGAGAAAGAAGAGAGGCAGGAGAAGGAGGGAAGCUGGUUGGGCCACAUGGUCCUUCCCCUCAGAUUUCUGCACCUUCUGAAGUUCUAUUAAAAUUCAGGAAAUGG